rnacentral:rRNA from 1 species
CGGGGGGAGCAAGCGUUGUUCGGAUUUACUGGGCGUAAAGGGCGCGUAGGCGGUCAGCACAAGUCAGUUGUGAAAUCUCCGGGCUUAACUCGGAAAGGUCAACUGAUACUGUGCGACUAGAGUGCAGAAGGGCAACUGGAAUUCUCGGUGUAGCGGUGAAAUGCGUAGAUAUCGAGAGGAACACCUGCGGCGAAGGCGGGUUGCUGGGCUGACACUGACGCUGAGGCGCGAAAGCCAGGGGAGCGAACGGGAUUAGAUACCCCGGUAGUCCUGGCCUUAAACGAUGGAUGCUUGGUGUCUGGAGUUAUAUAGUCUCCGGGUGCCGCAGCUAACGCGUUAAGCAUCCCACCUGGGGAGUACGGUCGCAAGACUG